GGAGGAAAGCAGGGGAUCGUAAGACCCUGCGCUUUUGGAGCGGCCGAUGCCUGAUUAGCUAGUUGGUGGGGUAAAGGCUUACCAAGGCAACGAUCAGUAGUUGGUCUGAGAGGACGGCCAGCCACACUGGGACUGAGACACGGCCCAGACUCCUACGGGAGGCAGCAGUGGGGAAUUUUGGACAAUGGGCGCAAGCCUGAUCCAGCAAUGCCGCGUGAGUGAAGAAGGCCUUCGGGUUGUAAAGCUCUUUCAGUCGAGAAGAAAAGAUUGUGACGAAUAAUCACAAUUCAUGACGGUAUCGACAGAAGAAGCACCGGCUAACUACGUGCCAGCAGCCGCGGUAAUACGUAGGGUGCAAGCGUUAAUCGGAAUUACUGGGCGUAAAGGGUGCGCAGGCGGCUUUGUAAGUCAGAUGUGAAAUCCCCGGGCUUAACCUGGGAAUUGCGUUUGAAACUACAAAGCUAGA
rnacentral:rRNA from 1 species